rnacentral:rRNA from 1 species
CACGUAGUUAGCCGGUGCUUCUUUACCCAUUACCGUCACUCACGCUUCGUCACAGGCGAAAGCGGUUUACAACCCGAAGGCCAUCAUCCCGCACGCGGCGUUGCUGCAUCAGGCUUCCGCCCAUUGUGCAAUAUUCCCCACUGCUGCCUCCCGUAGGAGUCUGGGCCGUAUCUCAGUCCCAAUGUGGCCGGUCACCCUCUCAGGCCGGCUACCCGUCAAAGCCUUGGUAAGCCACUACCCCACCAACAAGCUGAUAAGCCGCGAGUCCAUCCCCAACCGCCGAAACUUUCCAACCCCCACCAUGCAGCAGGAGCUCCUAUCCGGUAUUAGCCCCAGUUUCCUGAAGUUAUCCCAAAGUCAAGGGCAGGUUACUCACGUGUUACUCACCCGUUCGCCACUCGAGCACCCCACAAAAGCAGGGCCUUUCCGUUCGACUUGCAUGUGUUAAGCACGCCGCCAGCGUUCGUCCUGAGCCAGGAUCAAACUCU